ensembl:lncRNA
GUGUUUCUAGGUCACAAAAUAAACUUUUAAGAUAUUUUCAGGCGAGAAUGUAGGUGUGUAAACUUCAAAUAUCUGCUUGUUUUAUCAAGACAUCCCAUAUUUAGCGACAGUGCUCUGACGACGUCGGUCCUGCCUGACAGCUAGCCGGCUACCUAGCUAGCUGCUGCACUUGGCUGCAAAUGGAUAGCGAGGGGACUCUCUCUGUCGUUUCAAUCGUGGAUCAGGGAAAGCGAAGGCAGGAGCGUGAGGUGAACUGAAUUUCAGGCGUUAACUACAGCAGCCUUUUAUACCUCAACUCUUGAUUCAGCCAAGGUAAGUGCCCCCCCCUUAUAUUUUCUAUGUAUGUGUUCAGCUGAUAUUUAGAAAAAAAUAGGUGUGUUUAGCGCUGGAUGUCAUUUUAUUCCAGAGCUGUUGUUUGUAAUUAAAACUUUUAAGAUUAGAUGGUACAGUGUUUUUACUCCCUUCCAAACAGUAAAGUUCCUCUUUGUUUCUCAGUAGGAAAUUUAAACCAGACAGUACAAGGCUACAUUUCAGUGUUACACAAUCAGUUUGCUAAUUGUUCUGUGAGAUUUGUUUGCAAAGUUUAAGGUGUUAAGUAGGACUGUGAACAUCUGGGUCUGCUUGCUGCUGGCAUUCUGCCAGAGCCCCAGCAACAAGACCGCCUCCCAGCAACGAGAGUGCCUGUCAGCCUUGCAAGGUACCCAAUUUUCCAAUUACUCUAUAACAAAACUGUUGUGGGCAACUAGACUGUCUCCUAAGUUUGCAAGCCAAUCACUUUGCCAAAUGUUCUUGUAAGAUUUGUUUGAAAAGUUUGAGGUGGUAACUGUGAGCUGUGAACAUCUGGGUUUGCUUGCUGCUGGCAUUUGACCAGCGUCUCAGCAACAACACUGCCUCCCAGCUUUGCAAGGUAAUUACUUUCCCAAUUACUGUACACCAAAACGAAGUAACUGUCGUGGUCAACAAAUCUGCCUCCCAACUUUCAAGGUAAUCACUUUCUCAAUUACAAUAUACAAACUGUUAUGGAACUUUACUUAACAAAGCCUUAAGACCGGGUAGUGACACUAUCAAUAUGUCUAUUUAAAGAAAAGAGAGAUUUUUUUUUGUUCUUGUAGUCCUCUUGUCUGUCAAUGUAUCAGAGGGUUAAAAUAACAAAUUGCUUGAAAUGCCAAUAAUUAAUAUUCUGUUUUUAUGUUGACAUUCUACCAGAUGCCGAAAAAAAAUAAAAGAUCCCAGGCACAAAAGAAGCGCUGGAAACCGCUUGACCUGGUCGAUCCUGCAAUGCUCACUGGCCACAACCAAGAUGAGGCAGUCAGUAGUUUUCCAUCUGACCAGCAGACGGCACCAGCCGGGUUAUCUUUGGAAACACAGGAUAGACCCACCUCCUUAUGUUCCCCAGGUACCAAGACAGCACCAGCCAGCUUGUCCUUGGAAACGGAGAAUAGACCCACCUCCUUAUGUCCUCCAGGCAGCAAGAGUUCAGAAACUCGUCCACCAGCAAAACGAGUCUGGGCAACCGAUGAUUUCCACAUGGCAUCAAAUUCUCCACCUAAAAAGCCUUUCCACAACACAAAUGAACAACUACUGACAGAGGAGCUACAGAGCAACGCAGUUCAGCACUUCUGGUGUGUCAGUGCAACUCAUUGUCAAAGUGAUGAAAGGUACACAGAAUUCUCUCGAAAUCAUCAGUGCACAUGUAAUGCCCUCACAUUCCUGGCCUACCUUAAUGAGGAACACCAGUUCAACACAGCCCGACUUGAUAAGGUGCUUGAACAGGGAGAUGCACUCUACUGUUGGAUUAAAACAAAUCUUCAGCAGGAGAGGCGUUAUACACAAGAUCAUCUGACCAUGGAGGACCUGCCCAAAGAAGUUCAUGCUGACAUAAAUGUCUACAGUGUGAAAAUGGACAACAUAA